rnacentral:rRNA from 1 species
CCCCUAGUAACUGCGAGUGAAGCGGGAAAAGCUCAAAUUUGAAAUCUGGCGGCCUCGCCGUCCGAGUUGUAUUCUGGAGAAGCGUUUUCCGUGCCGGACCGUGUACAAGUCCCUUGGAACAGGGCGUCGUAGAGGGUGAGAAUCCCGAUCUUUGACACGGACUCCCCGGUGCUAUGUGAUGCGCUCUCGAAGAGUCGAGUUGUUUGGGAAUGCAGCUCAAAACGGGUGGUAAAUUCCAUCUAAAGCUAAAUAUUGGCGAGAGACCCGAUAGCGAACAAGUACCGUGAGGGAAAGAUGAAAAGCACUUUGGAAAGAGAGUAAAACAGUACGUGAAAUUGUUGAAAGGGAAACGCUUGAAGUCAGUCGCGUCUGCCGGAACUCAGCCUUGCUUCUGCUCGGUGCACUUUCCGGUUCGACAGGGCCAGCAUCGGUUUCGGGCGGCGGACACUGGCGUGGGGAAGGUGGCAGCUCCGGCUGUGUUAUAGCCCCGCGUCGCAAACGCCGUCUGGGACCGAGGAAUCCGGCGCAAGCCUGGGAUGCUGGCGUAAUGGCUUUAAACGACCCGUCUUGAAACACGGACCAAGGAGUGCUACACGCUCGCGAGUGUUUGGGUGGAAAACCCGAACGCGCAAUGAAAGUGAAAGUCGAUACCCCUCUCGGGGGCACCGACGCCCGAGCCUGAUGUUUUCGGAAGGCCUUGCGGUAGAGCGAGUGCGUUGCGACCCGAAAGAUGGUGAACUAUUCCUGAGGAGGGCGAAGCCAGAGGAAACUCUGGUGGAGGCUCGUAGCGGUUCUGACGUGCAAAUCGAUCGCAGGACUUGGG